GUGGAAGCACGGCUUCGCAGCGCGCACACAGGGAGCUUGUUCCCUGAGUUGCUGCGAGGAACAUCCCCGUGCCUUGCUGCAGAGAGUGUGAGUGGGAGACCGCAGGGCUUGAGCCAAACCUCCAGGUGGUGAUGCUCCUUGCAGAGCCGUGGUGGCAGGCUCGGGCCCUUCGCAGCAGCGCUCACAUGCUGGUUGUGGUCAUGAUGGGAGCGCCAACAGCACGGGGCUCACUCUCC
rnacentral:RNase_MRP_RNA from 1 species